rnacentral:rRNA from 1 species
AGAGUUUGAUCAUGGCUCAGGAUGAACGCUAGCGGCAGGCUUAAUACAUGCAAGUCGUGGGGCAGCACAGGUAGCAAUACUGGGUGGCGACCGGCAAACGGGUGCGGAACACGUACGCAACCUUCCUUUAAGUGGGGGAUAGCCCAGGGAAACUUGGAUUAAUACCCCGUACGAUCGAGGAGUGGCAUCACUUUUCGAUGAAAGCUACGGCACUUGAAGAUGGGCGUGCGGCUGAUUAGGUAGUUGGCGGGGUAACGGCCCACCAAGCCAACGAUCAGUAACUGGUGUGAGAGCACGACCAGUCACACGGGCACUGAGACACGGGCCCGACUCCUACGGGAGGCAGCAGUAAGGAAUAUUGGUCAAUGGACGCAAGUCUGAACCAGCCAUGCCGCGUGGAGGAUGAAGGCCCUCUGGGUUGUAAACUUCUUUUAUUGGGGAAGAACUCUACUUUUUCUAAGGUAGUUGACGGUACCCGAUGAAUAAGCACCGGCUAACUCCGUGCCAGCAGCCGCGGUAAUACGGAGGGUGCAAGCGUUAUCCGGAUUCACUGGGUUUAAAGGGUGCGUAGGUGGGCAGGUAAGUCAGUGGUGAAAUCUCCGGGCUUAACCCGGAAACUGCCGUUGAUACUAUCUGUCUUGAAUGUAGUGGAGGUGAGCGGAAUAUGUCAUGUAGCGGUGAAAUGCUUAGAUAUGACAUAGAACACCCAUUGCGAAGGCAGCUCGCUACACUAUUAUUGACACUGAGGCACGAAUGCGUGGGGAUCAAACAGGAUUAGAUACCCUAGUAGUCC